rnacentral:rRNA from 1 species
ACGGAAGGCAGCAGUGGGGAAUAUUGCACAAUGGGGGAAACCCUGAUGCAGCGACGCCGCGUGAGUGAAGAAGUAUUUCGGUAUGUAAAGCUCUAUCAGCAGGAAAGAGAAUGACGGUACCUGACUAAGAAGCCCCGGCUAACUACGUGCCAGCAGCCGCGGUAAUACGUAGGGGGCAAGCGUUAUCCGGAUUUACUGGGUGUAAAGGGAGCGUAGACGGCUUUGCAAGUCUGAAGUGAAAGCCCGGGGCUCAACCCCGGAACUGCUUUGGAAACUGUAGAGCUAGAGUGCAGGAGAGGUAAGUGGAAUUCCUAGUGUAGCGGUGAAAUGCGUAGAUAUUAGGAGGAACACCAGUGGCGAAGGCGGCUUACUGGACUGUAACUGACGUUGAGGCUCGAAGGCGUGGGGAGCAAACAGGAUUAGAUACCCUGGUA